rnacentral:rRNA from 1 species
CCCUUAGAUGUUCUGGGCCGCACGCGCGCUACACUGAUGCAUUCAACGAGUUUCUUCCUGGUCCGAGAGGAAUGGGUAACCUUUUGAAAGUGCAUCGUGAUAGGGAUAGACUAUUGCAAUUAUUGGUCUUCAACGAGGAAUUCCUAGUAGACGUAGUUCAUCAGACUGCAUCGAUUACGUCCCUGCCCUUUGUACACACCGCCCGUCGCUCCUACCGAUUGAAUGCUCAGGUGAGCCAUUCGGACUUUCAUCAUGCUGGUUUUCAGUUUUGAUGAAGGAAAGUCUUGCGAACCUUAUCAUUUAGAGGAAGGAGAAGUCGUAAUA